UGCAGGUUGAUGCAGCGCUAUGAGGCUUGGUCGCUUGGAUGCGGUCCUGGAGGCAUAAAACGCACAUGAUGUUCACAAGCAUGGUGGCAGUAAGGUGCGGAUGGAUCUAACUAAUGCUACCAAGUAAUAUACUGAUCAAUUCUAUGGUACUUUUUUGAUGGAUAUCCCUGAUUUGAUUGCAAAUAAUUUCCUGAGCUUUGAAACUAAUUUGUUUUCUCAAAUACACAAGUAAUUGUUCUGUUGAAAUUCAAUUCAUGCCUCACAUUGCGCGUAGAUCUGUUGGCCGGUUCCUAAUGAGCUCCAAAACAGAGAAGCGCCAUGAUGUACCAUGGCUUGAGGAGAUGCAUAUGUCGGCAUUUCUUUGUGUAUUGCUGGAACAUGGUUUGCAUCACCACAUUCUAAGGUCAUUUGCUUUCUUUCCCCCCCUGUAAUUUAAUGCAAUGCAUGACUCCUUCCUUUCUAAUGUUGGUUGGUAAUGUAUGAGCCUAACCUGAAAUUUGCACACAUCAGCAUCAACCUGAAAUCAUAGAUGCAACGUUAAUUGAAAAAGGCAUUCCAUCAAAAGAUAAAAAGAAUCUGAGUAUCAGCUUGCUAGGCUCCCUCCCUAUGUUUUUCAUUGUUUGUUGUGACGAUAUAAUGGAGAAGCCCUUCCUUGAGUAAACUAAUACUACUGCAGUUACUAAUCCUUUCUGUAUUGCUACAUGUAGUGUAUAAUGUGAAGGUGGACAGUUCAGCAUAAUUACUAACGGAAUUUGAUACCUUUCAACGAAACGAUUCAAAAGAUAUAUGGAUGAUUAUAUGGGUGCGUGGCAAGUAUACUGCAAUGAUGAUGAAGUUCCAGUUCAUGAUGAUGGAUGCUUUUGGUUUUGUUAAGUACUAGGGACAUUGUUGAUGUUGCUAGAUGAUGUUCCUCAGUUACGUUUUAGUUUAGUUGUAGGGAUGUUGAUGGAUUCUUUCAGUUAAAGUUUCGCUUCGCUGUGAAGAAAAUAUUUAGAUUAUGCAGCAUAUUUGGAUGAUGUUCCUCAUGUAAUAUCCACUACUGUAAUCCAAAAGUUUUAUCCAAUAUAUGAUUUCUUCC
rnacentral:rRNA from 1 species